GGAUUGGUUUUUUGUUUUGUUGUUUUUUUCUGCGACCAGAUGGCAGCAGAGAAACUUGGAAGGUGUUCAUGGAUGUUACACGCAUGAAUUAGUGGGCAGAGCUUCCAUUGCACAUUUCCAUCAUCGUCCUGUUCCGGGUGAUGCAAUA